rnacentral:tRNA from 1 species
GGGCCUGUAGCUCAACUGGAUAGAGCACCUGCCUUCUAAGCAGGGGGUUGGGAGUUCGAGUCUUCCCGGGCCUG